AGGAUGAAUACACUGGUGCCCUGUUUCUCCACUGAGCCUGGGAAGCUUUAAGUGUGUCAUCUCAUUGUUUUACCCUCGAUUUUCUCAAUAAGAGACUGGAAGAAGCCGCGCUUGUCUGCAUCAGGAAUAAUUUGCUGCUGUCCGAGGCCUUGCCAAAGCGCAGAGUCUAAACCUGCACAUACACCAAGGAGGAGGGAGUACAGAACAAGAUAAAUGACAGAAGUUGGG